UAACAGCAGUAGACUGUUUUAUAACACAGUCACAGUAAUAACAGCAGUAGACUGUUUUAUAACAGUCACAGUGAGAACAGCAGUAGACUGUUUUAUAACACAGUCACAGUAAUAACAGCAGUAGACUGUUUUAUAACACAGUCACAGUGAGAACAGCAGUAGACUGUUUUAUAACACAGUCACAGUAAUAACAGCAGUAGACUGUUUUAUAACACAGUCACAGUGAGAACAGCAGUAGACUGUUUUAUAACACAGUCACAGUAAUAACAGCAGUAGACUGUUUUAUAACAGUCACAGUGAGAACAGCAGUAGACUGUUUUAUAACACAGUCACAGUAAUAACAGCAGUAGACUGUUUUAUAACAGUCACAGUGAGAACAGCAGUAGACUGUUUUAUAACAGUCACAGUAAUAACAGCAGUAGACUGUUUUAUAACAGUCACAGUGAGAACAGCAGUAGACUGUUUUAUAACAGUCACAGUGAGAACAGCAGUAGACUGUUUUAUAACACAGUCACAGUGAGAACAGCAGUAGACUGUUUUAUAACAGUCACAGUAAUAACAGCAGUAGACUGUUUUAUAACAGUCACAGUAAUAACAGCAGUAGACUGUUUUAUAACACAGUCACAGUGAGAACAGCAGUAUACUGUUUUAUAACACAGUCACAGUGAGAACAGCAGUAUACUGUUUUAUAACACAGUCACAGUGAGAACAGCAGUAGACUGUUUUAUAACAGUCACAGUGAGAACAGCAGUAGACUGUUUUAUAACAGUCACAGUGAGAACAGCAGUAGACUGUUUUAUAACACAGUCACAGUGAGAACAGCAGUAUACUGUUUUAUAACAGUCACAGUGAUAACAGCAGUAGGUAAAACUGGAGGCAUGAGUCAAUGAAACAUCCUGUCUAGCAGCAGAAUAUGUUAACUUUAGUUAGCAAAGCAGUUUGUUCCGAGUACAACAUUCUGCCAUUAGAAACAUAGGCUACACAUGGGAA